rnacentral:rRNA from 1 species
UUCACGGAGAGUUUGAUCCUGGCUCAGGACGAACGCUGGCGGCGUGCUUAACACAUGCAAGUCGAACGAUGAACCGGUUUCGGCCGGGGAUUAGUGGCGAACGGGUGAGUAACACGUGGGCA